rnacentral:sRNA from 1 species
UAAUAUCAAACUAAAGCCCUUUUUAUUAC